rnacentral:rRNA from 1 species
UCUCAGUUUGGAUCGAAGUCUGCAACCCGACUUCGUGAAGCUGGAUUCGCUAGUAAUCGCGCAUCAGCCAUGGCGCGGUGAAUACGUUCCCGGGCCUUGUACACACCGCCCGUCAAGCCAUGAAAGCCGGGGGUACCUGAAGUACGUAACCGCAAGGAUCGUCCUAGGGUAAAACUGGUAAUUGGGGCUAAGUCGUAACAAGGUAUC